rnacentral:rRNA from 1 species
AAAUUGAAGAGUUUGAUCAUGGCUCAGAUUGAACGCUGGCGGCAGGCCUAACACAUGCAAGUCGAGCGGUAGCACAGAGAGCUUGCUCUCGGGUGACGAGCGGCGGACGGGUGAGUAAUGUCUGGGAAACUGCCUGAUGGAGGGGGAUAACUACUGGAAACGGUAGCUAAUACCGCAUAAUGUCGCAAGACCAAAGUGGGGGACCUUCGGGCCUCAUGCCAUCAGAUGUGCCCAGAUGGGAUUAGCUAGUAGGUGGGGUAACGGCUCACCUAGGCGACGAUCCCUAGCUGGUCUGAGAGGAUGACCAGCCACACUGGAACUGAGACACGGUCCAGACUCCUACGGGAGGCAGCAGUGGGGAAUAUUGCACAAUGGGCGCAAGCCUGAUGCAGCCAUGCCGCGUGUGUGAAGAAGGCCUUCGGGUUGUAAAGCACUUUCAGCGGGGAGGAAGGCGUUAAGGUUAAUAACCUUGGCGAUUGACGUUACCCGCAGAAGAAGCACCGGCUAACUCCGUGCCAGCAGCCGCGGUAAUACGGAGGGUGCAAGCGUUAAUCGGAAUUACUGGGCGUAAAGCGCACGCAGGCGGUCUGUCAAGUCGGAUGUGAAAUCCCCGGGCUCAACCUGGGAACUGCAUUCGAAACUGGCAGGCUAGAGUCUUGUAGAGGGGGGUAGAAUUCCAGGUGUAGCGGUGAAAUGCGUAGAGAUCUGGAGGAAUACCGGUGGCGAAGGCGGCCCCCUGGACAAAGACUGACGCUCAGGUGCGAAAGCGUGGGGAGCAAACAGGAUUAGAUACCCUGGUAGUCCACGCCGUAAACGAUGUCGAUUUGGAGGUUGUGCCCUUGAGGCGUGGCUUCCGGAGCUAACGCGUUAAAUCGACCGCCUGGGGAGUACGGCCGCAAGGUUAAAACUCAAAUGAAUUGACGGGGGCCCGCACAAGCGGUGGAGCAUGUGGUUUAAUUCGAUGCAACGCGAAGAACCUUACCUGGUCUUGACAUCCACAGAACUUUCCAGAGAUGGAUUGGUGCCUUCGGGAACUGUGAGACAGGUGCUGCAUGGCUGUCGUCAGCUCGUGUUGUGAAAUGUUGGGUUAAGUCCCGCAACGAGCGCAACCCUUAUCCUUUGUUGCCAGCGGUUCGGCCGGGAACUCAAAGGAGACUGCCAGUGAUAAACUGGAGGAAGGUGGGGAUGACGUCAAGUCAUCAUGGCCCUUACGACCAGGGCUACACACGUGCUACAAUGGCAUAUACAAAGAGAAGCGACCUCGCGAGAGCAAGCGGACCUCAUAAAGUAUGUCGUAGUCCGGAUUGGAGUCUGCAACUCGACUCCAUGAAGUCGGAAUCGCUAGUAAUCGUAGAUCAGAAUGCUACGGUGAAUACGUUCCCGGGCCUUGUACACACCGCCCGUCACACCAUGGGAGUGGGUUGCAAAAGAAGUAGGUAGCUUAACCUUAGGGAGGGCGCUUACCACUUUGUGAUUCAUGACUGGGGUGAAGUCGUAACAAGGUAACCGUAGGGGAACCUGCGGUUGGAUCACCUCCUUA